UACGAAGGGGGCUAGCGUUGUUCGGAAUUACUGGGCGUAAAGGGCGCGUAGGCGGCGUGUCAAGUCAGGCGUGAAAGCCCCGGGCUCAACCUGGGAACCGCGCUUGAGACUGGCAUGCUCGAGUUCGGGAGAGGAUGGUGGAAUUCCCAGUGUAGAGGUGAAAUUCGUAGAUAUUGGGAAGAACACCGAUGGCGAAGGCAGCCAUCUGGACCGACACUGACGCUGAGGCGCGAAAGCGUGGGGAGCAAACAGA
rnacentral:rRNA from 1 species